CAAAGAUGCCAGUCUGGGAGGGGACUGAAGCCAAUCCAGCUCCUGAGGUAAGUUAGCAGUGGAAAUCUCAUGAGUUGUUAGAAGUCUCACAGAACUCAAGUGGCAGGUAACGCCAGAACAGGGGCUUCCAGAAAAAGGUAACCUUGAAAUACUAAGGUGCAGUUGAGAAGGACCCAGCAUUCCCCUUGGCCUCCUCCUUGCCUCAGCAGGGAAUGAGCUUCCUGAGCUCAGGUUCAUCAUGAGGGCUUGGCCAGGUCUUGGAUCUGUGAUGGCAGAGAGCUGAUGGAGGGUAUUCCAAGUUGAAUAUUCUGAGAGGAGGAAUCACAAACCCUCUUUCUUUUCCUCAUUUUCUUAGGAUUGUUCACAUACUCAGAUUUCUUGCCUGAGGCAGAGUGUCCCCAAGUGCCUCAUGACACCUCCAGAAAAAGAAGACAUGUUUCCUGUUACUCUCAAAGGCACUGCAGAUUUCUGGCUGCAGGUUCUGAUGCUUUUGUGAUGAAUUUUCUGAUGCUUUUGUGAUGAAUUAGAAAAGUCAGGGCUCAACCCUCUCUCUCACCACGAAAAAUUUGAUCUCCCAAGAUGAAACCUUAGAACCAGGACAAAAUGUAAGCAGAGGUUAAUAGUUAAGGUGCAAAACUGUCUUGAAUAGGAGGAACAUUACUCAGCCCUAGACAUUUAGCAGCACUGAUUCUGGUUUUUGCUUUGGAGGUGCUGAGAAUGGAACCCAGGGCCAUGGACAUGAUAGCUAAGCAUUCCAGCACACAGCAACACCACCAGCUCAGUGCUGCUGUCUUUAAGACUCAUGUGGAAUUGUUAGACUUAAUGUGUCAGUAAUCUGAUUUUCAUUUCAAACCUAAUUUGUUUGCAUGCAGAGAGAUCCAUGCAUGAGUAGAAGUAUACUUUAGACGUUGAUAUCAUACUACUGAGAAAAUGAAAGAUCUGUGGGGCUAAUGAUUGUUUUAGUGUUACGUUGGUAAUAUUAUGAGUGAAUUACAUAGAUAUGUAUGAUAAAUUAAUUAUAUUUCAUAGUAAAAAUAUUUAAAUAUGUAAAACAUUAACAAAUACCAAACUGCUAAAUAUAUGCUUGUAUUAAAGUAGGAUUUGCUAUAGACUAGACUAUCCACCAAGAGAAAUCAAGAGAAGUUCUAUAUUUAGGAUAAACAAGCCAUACUCUGAAUUGCUGUUUGUGUUCUCUUAACAACAGCAACAAUAUGAAGAAAUAAAGACUUUAAGCAACUACUGUAAGGCUGGACAUGAGUCCUGGUGCAUUCCUCUCUUAGAGAAGUUCCUAAGGCAUAAUGGAAAACAUUAUGAAAUUUUUUCAAAAACUUGAAAGAACUGCCAUAUAAUUGAUCUAGCAACCCCCCAUUUGUUUGUCGAUGAAUAAAGAAUAUGUGAAGUGUGUGUGUGUGUGUGUGUGUGUGUGUGUGUGCGCGCGUAUGAUAGGGUAGGUAUUGAGAGAGUGAGAAUGAUAAUAUUAUUCAAUCAUUUUUUUCCUUCAUAAAUGGGGGUUUAUCCCAGGGGCAAUUUACCCCUUAGCCACUUCCCAAGCUCCCCACCCCCUUUUUUGUAAGAGAGAGAGAGAGAGAGAGAGAGAGAGAGAAAUUUUUAAUAUUUAUUUUUAAGUUUUCAGUGGACACAUCUUUAUUUUAUUUUUAUGUGGUGCUGAGGAUCAAACCUAGUGCCCCGCGCAUACAAGGUGAGCGUGUUACCUCUUGAGCCACAUCCCCAGCCUGCCAAGUCCUUUUUAAUUAUUUAUUUAGAGACAAGAUCUCCCUAAGUCACUUAGGGUCUUGCUAAGUUGCUGAGGCUGGCUUUGAAUUCAUGAUCCUCCUGCCUCAGCCUUCAAAGCUUAUGGGAUUAUAAGAGUGUGCCAGAACACCUGGCUAUUAUUCAGUCUUAAAAAGAAAAUCCUCUCAUUUGUAACAGCAUGGAUUCCUGAGGACAUCAUGCUACUGAGAUCAGCAGACACAGAAAGAGAGAUACUGCUUGAUCUCACUUCUGUGUGAAACCUAAAAUAGUCAAACUCAUAGAAGCAGAGAGUCCAUGGUGGGCAUGAGGGCUGUUGAUAGGGGAAAAGGGAUAGGUGAUGUUGGUUAAGGUUAUAAAGAUUAUACACGAUGGAGAAUUUCUAAAGAGCUAAUGAAUAGCAUGGUGAUUACAGUUAAUAAUAUGGGCUGUUUAAAAAUUGCUAAGGGGGUAGAUCUUGGGUAUUGCUAAGGGGGUAGAUCUUGGGUAUUCUCAAUACACACACACACAUACACAUACACACACACACACACUCAGAAGAAAAUGGUGACUGAGCUGAAAGAUAAGUUCAGUAAUUUGUUCUGAUCAUUUCACAGUGUAUCCAAACCUCAUGUUCUGUACAUCAAUGUAUACAAAUUUAAUUUCACAGUUACACCUCAACAACAGUGUUAACAAAAACAGUAACCAAGAGUCUGCAUGGUGUGGGCACCAGUGCCGAAGGAUGGAACAAGGUCAGCCAUUCUCAGGGGAUGCACCCAAAGAGCCAUUCAGCGGGACAGUGCCUUCUCACUGCUGAGAAGCAAUCUGUCUCUUUAGGAGGUCUUGGGGAUUGUUUCCAGGGAAUAUCACCACUCUCUAGAUCAAAAAGCACUGGUGGAUUUGCAGCAGGAAUUACCUCACUGCUGCCCACAAAGCUCCUAUCAUCAGCAUGAAAGGUUUAUGUUUUAAGUAGGAUCAAAGCUAUAGCUACUUAUUUUCCUUAUUAAUUGCUCUGUUUUUGAAGAUUCUGAGUUGGUAAAUUAUAAUUUCCUCUACUGUUCACAGUAGGUCUCUAUUUAAUCCUUCCAUAGAUAAGUAGCUUUUGACAAAUCCAACAACUGAGGUUGGCCUGCUGGAUGCAUAAGGAAAUACAAAGGAACAAGAGUUAAAUAUAAAAUGCUUUGGUUAUUGAUACUUUUCAUGUCUUCAGUGGAAUAAAGGGAUAGACCAAGCUUAUAUGGUGACCCAAGCAAACUGUAGCCUUUAACUGAGAACCCCUUUUGGGAAAGAUGAUUACAGUGGGUUGUUUCUCUUCCAGAAAACUUUAUAUGCAACACUUAGCAUCAGAAUCUUCUCCAAAGGGGAAACUAUGCUGAAACUUCACAGACAAAAGUUUCAGCAUAGUUUUCUUCCUAGCCUUCUUCACAGACAUAAGAAGGCUAGGAAAAUUCCCAAGAGAAUAAGCAAGGACAGAGUAGAGUCAAGAGAGUCAAGGAGAGAGUCAUAUCAGCAGGCUUUAAACAGUUCUUAAUAAAUGGGAUGAAGAAAUCAGAUAUUGAUAGAGUAAAUAGCAAAGCUUAGUACAAGACUCCCAGAAGUUGUGUGGCCCCAUAAGAUCUCCCAGAUUGUCCCAAGAAAGAAUCUACUUUGUCCAACCUAGUUGGUUUGAAUCCAGAAAACUUGACCCUGAGUUUCCUGGGAAAAUAGUCCCACCAUCUGAUCAGCACAAGGCCUGAUGGAAAGGAGAAGUUCUCUUAUGUACACAAAAGAGUGAAAAAAUGGUCCAAAGAUUGAAAAUAGAUAUUUCUGGGACUCUUUCACACAGGAUCCCCAUGCACCAAACCCACUGGGGAAUAUCUAAUUAGGGUAUACUUAGCUUGAGAGGACAGAAAUCUGCCAGGUUUGGUAGAAUUAAAGGAAAAUUGUGGAUGAAAACAAAUGUUUUAAAUUCUUCAUGAGAAUAUUGUGUUUCAUUGAACUGAGUGUUUUAUGGAGAUAGAUACUGUUUGAGGAAUUUUUUAAACUAGUGUUGUACAACAGAAGCUGGUAAGUGUCGUCUUUUUAAAAAAAUUUUAUUCUAAUUUCUUAUAUAUGACAACAGAAUGCAUGACAAUUCAAGUUACACAUAUAGAGCACAAUUUGUCAUAUCUCUGGUUGUGUACAAAGUAUAUUCAUACCAUUCAUGUCUUUAUACAUGUACUUAGGGUAAUGAUGUCCAUCUCAUUCCACUGUCUUUUGUACCCCUGUGCCUUCUCCCUUUCCCUCCUAUUCCUUUGCCCUAUCUAGAGUUCUUCUAAUCCUCCCAUGUUCCCCCUCCCAACCGCAGGAUGAAUCAGCCUCCCUAUGUCAGAGAGAAUAGUCAGCAUUUGUUUUUUGGGGGGAUUUGCUAAAUUCAUUUAAUCUCCAACUCCAUUCAUUUGCCUGCAAAUGCCAUGAUUUUGUUCUGUUUUGCUGCUGAGUAGUAUCCCAUUGGAGAUAUAUAUAUAUAUAUAUCACAUUUUCUGUGUCCAUUCAUCUACUCUAGGGCAUCUGGGUAGAUUCCACAAUUUAGGUAUUGUGAAUUGUCCUGCUAUAAACAUCGAUGUGUCUGUGUCCAUGUAGUAUGCUGUUUUUAAGUCCUUUGGGUAUAGAUCAAGAACUGGGAUAGCUGUGUCAAAUGGUGGUUCCAUUCCUAGUUUUUCAAGGAAUCUCUAUAUUGCUUUCCAGAUUGGCUGCACCAAAUUGCCGUCCCACCAGCAAUCUAUGAGUGGGCAUUUUCCCCUCACAUUCUCGCCAACACUUAACUGUUGUUUGUAUUCUUAAUAGCUGCCAUUCUGACUGGAGUGAGAUGAAAUCUUAGAGUAGUUUUGAUUUGCAUUUCUCUAAUUGUUAGAGAUGUUGAACAUGUUUUCAUGUGUUUGUUGAUUGAUUGUCCAUACUCUUUUAAGAAGUGUCUGUUCAGUUCCUUGGGCCAUUUACUGAUUGGGUUAUUUGUUUUAUGGUGUUUAGCUUUUUGAGUUAUUUAAGUAUUCUAGAGAUUAGUGCUCUAUCUGAUAUGUGAGUGGUAAAUAUUUGCUCCCAAGAUGUAGGCUUUUUAUUUACUGAUUGGGUUAUUUGCUUUGUGGUGUUUAGCUUUUUGAAUUAUUUAAGUAUUCUAGAGAUUAGUGCUCUAUCUGAUAUAUGAGUGGUAAAUAUUUGCUCCCAAGACGUAGGCUUUUUAUUUACCUCUCUGAUUGUUUGUUUUGCUGAAAAGAAGCUUUUUAGUUUGAAUCCAUCCCAUUUUUGAUUCUUGAUUUUAAUUCUUGUGCUAUAGGAGUCUUAUUAAGAAUACGACAUGAUAGAGAUUUGAGCCUACUUUUUCUUCUGUUAGAUGCAGAGUUCCUAGUUUAAUUCCUAGGUCCUUGAUCCACUUUGAGUUGAGUUUUCAGAAUGGUGAGAGAUAGGGGUUUAUUUUCAUUUUGUUGCAUAUGGAUUUGCAGAUUUCCCAGUACUGUUUAUUGAAGAGGCUAUCUUUUAUCCAGUUCAUGUUUUUGGCACCUUUGUCUAAUAUAAGAUAAUUGUAAUUUUGUAGGUUAGUCUCUGUGUCUUCUAUUCUGUACCAUUACUCUACUAGCCUGUUUUGGUAUCAAUACCAUACUGUUUUUGUUACUAUUGCUCUGUAGUAUAGUUAAGAUCUUGUAUAAUGAUGCCACCUGCUUCACUCUUCUUGCUAAGGAUUGCUUUAUUAGCUUUUCUGCAUUUCUUAUUUUUCCAGAUGAAUAUCAUGACUGCUUUUACUAUUUAUAUGAGGAAUGCCAUUGGAAUUUUGAUUGGAAUUAAGCAUUAAGUUUGUAUAGUGCUUUUGGUAGUACAGUCAUCUUGACAAUAUUAAUUCUGGCUAUCCAGGAAGAAGGAAGAUAAUUCUGUCUUCUAAGGUCUUAUUUAUUUUUUUCUUUAGCAUUCUGUAGUUUUCAUUGUAGAGGUUGAUUGCCAAGUAUUUUAAAUUUUUUGAGGCUAUUGUAAAUGGUGUAGUUUUCCUCAUUUCCCUUUCAGAGGAUUUGUCACAAAUGUACAGAAAUAUCUUUGAGUUAUGGAUGUUUAUUUUGUAUCCUGCUAUUUUGCCUAAUUCAUUUAUUAGUUCUAGAAAUUUUCUGGUGGAAUUUUUGGAUCUUCUAGGUAUAGAAUCAUAUUGUUGAGAAAUAGUGCUAAUUUGAGUUCUGUGUCCCUUAAUUUCUUUUGUAUGUCUAAUUGUUCUGGCCAGUGUUUCAAGACCUAUAUUAAAUAGAAGUGGUGAAAGAGGGCAUCCUUUUCUUGUUCCAGUUUUUAGAGCAAAUGCUUUCAAUUUUUCUGCAUUUAGAAUGAUGUUGGCCUGGAGCUUAGCACAGAUAGCUUUCAUGAUCUUAAGAUAUGUUCCUGUUAUCUCUAGUAAUGUGCAAUAUUAAUUAGACAUUCUAAAUUUGAACAAGAUGAUUGCUUGAGCCCACACAGAGAAUGGGAUUUGAAGAUCAUAGGCUAGAAUCUGGAGUACUGGAAUGGACAGAUACUUUAUAACAUUGUUCUGGGUAAAGUGUAACCGGGUGCUUGCACAAAAACCUGUGAGCCACCUCCCAAUGAUAACUGAUAGAACUUUGACAAAGAGAGCGUUCAUUCAAAGGGUAAUUACUCCCUUGCUAUUAGUUGAAAAUGCCCCUGUAACUGAAUAACAGAAAAUAUCCCUGAAACACAAAAUAUGCAUGAUGUCUUAGGUGAUGUUGGAGGCAUGGUGUAAUGGGGAGGGCUGGUAAUAAAUGAAAAGGCUUGUGCAGAAACCUACUCUCAGGAGACAGAGUUAGUUGACAUAUUCCUGAGCAGUUUGGUCUUUUCCCUAGGACUGACUUUAGAGCAACCUGUGGAAUUGUGGGAUUCUAUCCCCACUUGGACUCUUCCCUUUGAACAGCUAGUGAUUGACAAGCAAAGAGCUGGUUGGUUUCUGGGUGGCUGCAGCACACAUGCAGUGAAAUUAAGAAAAGGUAAAAGCAGAUCAACUUUGUAGGUUGAAUAACAUGAUGUUUGCUCUGCAUUUGGUUUUUAUCCUGACUGAUGGGAGUCAGACUCAGUCACCUGCCCUAAUUAUGAGGCAGAAGGACAAAGGAAAGCUGGUCUAUUUAGGGAUUGCCUCUAUGGGGUACAACCCAUAGAAAUCACUAGGGGAUGUGAAAGGUGCAUUGAAGUAGGAGUUGCCAUUGUUUACCAGAAGACCCUCCGUCCAGGAUUGGGACAUAAUUUGAAUUGACAAGUAGGUUUCCCAGUGUGCUUGCUUGAGUUGGUCACCUGGGUGCAUGGUAGGGGGCUGUAGCAACACACAGAUGGGCUGUUUCCAGACAUGUUGAAUUUGCACCCUGUGAGGUACAAGGUAUCGGUAAGAACUGUCCUGUCUGUGAGGGAGGGAGGAGGAUGGUGCCUCUGACUAUGGGGCAGAUUCCCAGAAGAGAAGGCCUUGCCCAGAGCUGGUAAUUCUGUAUCCCUGGGACACUAUGGUCUGUACCUGUAGGAAGAGAAAUAGACUCUGGACUGGCUCAUGUGGUCUUGAAAGCUGAUGAGUCCCAAGAUCUGUCUUCAGCAAGCUGGUGGCUCAGGAGAACCAAUGGUGGAAUUCCAGCCUGUCCUAAAGGCCUGAACACUAGAAAGCCAAUAGUGUAGUUGAGGUGAGAAGGUGGUUGGAUGAUACCCAGGAAGUGAUGUUCCAGUUCAUAUCUGAAGGCAGAUGAAAUCCACAUCAUGGCUCAAAGGCAGUUGGGCAGGAGCAGAGCAGUUCACCAUUACUCAGUGUUUUUUCUCUAUCCAGGCCUUCAACUGAUUGGAUGAGGCCACUCCUGAUGGGCAGGACAGUCUGCUUUACUUAGUUUACUGACUCACAUGUUUCUCUCAUGGAAAACAACUUCACAAUCACACCCUUACUCAGGUUUUCUAAAUAUGUGAGACCCCUAUGGCCCACUGACGUGUUGACCCUUGAAGUAAACUGAUAACAAUCACUUAUGUUUCACUUAGUAAUAAAAAACUGUCUGAUACAUGAGCUGUUAAAUGUUUCUCAUCUUCUUGACAAUAAUACUUCAAUGACUUUACAAAACCAUAAGAGAUUACCCCAUAAAUUCAUAAAUCAAUUUAUGAUUAGGAACAAAAAUAUACAGAAUUUAUAUGAGUCGUAAAGUCUAAUUUUUCACUAGUUAAUUCACAAGCUACUUGGAUUAAAUGUGAUAUAAAAAUCUACAAAUACAUCCAAGCUGUAUAUAAAAUAUGAACAGAUACAUGGUAUAUGUUCCCUGAUAUAUGAUAUUCUAUCAAAGGCAAAAGUAUAGGGACAAGGAAAGGAUCAGUGGUUGCCAAGGAUUAGGCAGAGGGAGGGGUAAAUAUGUGAGGCACAGGAUUUUGGGGGCAGUUAAACUGUUUUGUAGGAUACAAUAAUAAUGGAUACAUAUCAUCAUACAUUUGUCCAAACCCGUUGAAUGCAGGAUAGCAAGAAUAAAAUCUUUCAUUGGGUGAUAAAAAUAAGUGAAUGUUUGUUGUAAGAAACAUAUCACUUUGGUGGGGGAUGUGGACAACUGGGAGCCUGUGGUAGCCAAGAGAUGUACAGGAAAUCUCUACCCAAUUUUGAUGUGCACCUAAAACUUCUCCAACAAAUGAAGCCUAUUAAAAACAGCAACAGUAUUACCCUAUAUGCAUGUAUGAUUACACAACUGGUAUAACUCUGUCAUGUACAACCAGAAGAAUGAGAAAUUUUAUUCCAUCUAUGUAUGAUGUGUCCAAAAUGCCUUCUACCAUUGUGUAUAAAUAGUUAGAAUAAAUUUAAAAAUAACAACAUAUUACAUCCCCCAAAAUAGAAGAGAGCCAUGUAAAUUAAAAUUAUUUAUAAUAGAUAGAAAUGAGAGAAUGCUUAGUACUUACAGGACAUGAAUAUAUAGAUUACUACAUAUUAUUAAAUAAUGAGAAUCAAAAUAUGUUUGAAGCCAAAUACUAAAUAACCAUUAACAAGUACCCAUUUUCAUUUCUAACUAUUGUAACCCAGCAUUUCCAAGGCACAUUUAUAACAAUAUCUGUCAAUGCAAUUAACAAGUAAAUGAAUAUGGAGUUUCUUGAAUGUUAAUCCUGCACAACAAAAGGCAAACACAUCAGUUUUUUAAAAACUAUUAUUUUUAAAAAGACAAAGCUAAUAUGAAAAUGCAUAUAAUAUUCUUCAUAUUCAUGCAAAUUAAAACCUCUCUACGAAAAAAAAAAUACUCUGAAGUCUAAAGUACAAUGAAACUUUUAUUUCACAUCAAAGUUUUUUUCCUACUUUUCAGUAGAUGUUCUUAUUGGAUUCAACCGCAAGAUAGUGAAAUUUGGGCUCUACUUUAGGGUCCAAAAGAUUGUGGCCUGUGGAAUUAAACAUUGUCAGGACCACAUAGGCACAACAAGUUUUGUAGCAGACAAAAUCUCACCCUUGCAUUUGAAAGAGAAAAGGAACUUUCUAUUUUCGAUGGAAGCACUUCUUGCUCGAUUGCAUUUUUAAUCUUUACAUCAGGAGUUGUAAAAAUGCCAAAAAAUGAUGUGAAAAAAGAAAUUUAAUACAUGUAUAUUGUGUCAUUUAUUUCAAAGCAUACCUUGAGAGCAUAUUUAAAGGAAUCUGAUAAUUUAUUCCAUUUCAGUGUGUGGCUAUAUACCAUAAUCUAUAGCAUAUAAAUAUUUACAAAGGGCUUUGGUUCACAUUUUGAAGUUUCCAUGCUAUGAUUUGCUAUUCCAAUUUUUAUGAUGAUAUAUAAGGAACGAAUUAAUCUAUUAAUGUUCUACCAAAUUUCACUGAAGAAUUUUGUUAGAGCCUAGCAUUUUUAAAAUAUCACAACUCUGAAUGCAUACUGAGCAUGCAUAUAAAUCUAGUGAACCAAAAUUGGUUUUCAAAAAGAUCAACAAAAGUGAAAGUCCUUUAUCUGUGUGUUUAAUAAAAAGGAAGACUCAAAUUACUAAAUUAUGAAAGUGAGAACAUUACUAUUCACUUUACAUUCAUAAAAAAUGUAUCUGUGCACAGUGGGGAUGGUUGCAGUCAUAGCUACUCAGGAAUCUAAGGCAGACAGAACACUUGAACCCAGGAGUUCAAGGUCAUCAUGUUCAAUAUGGACCUUGACUCAAAAAAAUAUAUUAUUAGAGAAAACUAUGAAAAAGUAUAUUCGAAUAAAUUGAAUAACUGGUAGUAAAUAUGAAAUUCUAAGAAACACAUCACCUUCUAAAGACUAAAUCUUGAGAAAUGAUAAAAAAGAGAAUACACAUAAAACUCACAAGGAGGUUAAACUAAUAAUCCAAAACAACUUUCCAAUGAAAAGUUCUAGACCAGAAUAUCAAGUGUACCAGAUGGUUGAUUCUGAACCACAUGGAGGGUUCUGAACCAGAUGACUUCACUAAAGAAGUGUAUCAGGGUUGGGGUUGUGGCUCAGAAGUAGAGCACUCACCUAACAUGCAUGAGGCACUAAAUUUGAUCUUCAGCACCACAUAAAGUAAAAUAGAUUGUGUCCACAUAUAACUAAAAAAUAAAUAUUUAAAAAACAAAAAUCUAUCAAAUGUUUAAAUAAGGGCUGGGAUUGUGGCUCAGUGGCAGUGUGUUUACCUAGCAUGUGUGAGGCCCUGGGUUGUAUCAACACCACAUAAAAAUAAAUAAAAAAGGUAUUGUGUACCAUCAACAGCUAAAAAAAUUUUUUAAAUGUUUAUAUAAGCAUUACCAGCUUUCUUUUCCAAACUUUUCCAAAAUUCAAAGAAAACACACCUUAUGCAUCUGAGAGGCCAGGAAUAACCUGGUACUGAAGCCAGGCAUAGAAUUGACAGGAGAAGGAAAUUCUAGAUCAUUAUUCCUUAUGAAUCCUGGUGCAGAAACGUUCACAAUGAUAGCAAGUGCAAUUCAGCAACUUAUUAAAGUGACUGUAUAAUAUGACCAAGUACAGUUUAUUCUAGCAACACAGGAAUAGCUCAACAUGUGAGCAUCAAUCAAUAAACCACAUAAGCAGACUGAAGUAGAGGGGGAAUAUCAUCAUCUCUGCUAAAGUAGAAGAAGUGUUUGAAAACAUUCAACACCUUAAGAAGAAAAAAAUUACGGUUAACAAAGUUGAACUAGAAGGAAACUACCUCAACAAAGAUAUUACAUGAAAAGCCACAGAUAACACCAUACUUAGUAGUAAAAGCUUGUUUGGUAAAAUUGGCAAAAUGUUCAGGAUGCCUGCUUUCCCCUUCCACUCAAUAUAAUAUUGAAAGUUCUGGCCAGAAGCAUAAGGAAAGAAAAUGAAAUUGAGGCAUCCAAAUGGGGAAGGAAGAAAUAAAAGUAUGUCCCAACACAGAAGACAUAACACAUAUGUAGAAAACCCUGAAGAUGUCACACAAAAGUGUUGGAACUAAUAAUUUCAGUAAAAUUGCAGAAUAUAAGGGUAACAUCCCAAAGGAAAUUGAAAACACAAUUCCAAGGCAUCACACUUGCUGAUUUCAACUAUGAAAAGCCAGGAUAUCAAGACACCAUGGUACUGGCAAGAAAACAGGCACAUAGUCCAGUAGAGCUGAGCUGAGAGCCCAGACUUCAACCCACACAUGUGGUCAAGUCAUGUUUGGGGGCCAGAAGCGCAUGAGAGGGCAAGGAAAGACUGGGCACCCACACACAGAAGGAUGAAAUUGGACCCUUAUUUUAUGUUCCAUACACAGAAAGGAACUUGAAAUGGAAGACAGAGUUAAAUAUUUAUCAGCCCUGAAACUCUCAGAAGAAAACCGAGGUGAAAUCUCUUGAUUUGGGUAUUAGCAAUGAUUUUUUGGACAUAACACCAACAGGAUGGGCAACAGAAGAAAACUAAACAAGCAGGGCUACAAAAGCAAAGGAAUCCAUCCAUAAAAUGAAAGGGUAAUGACCAAAGUGGGGGACAUAUUUACAAAGCAUAUCUGACAGGAGUUAAGAUGUCUCUAAUAGUGGGGAAAAGGCCUGCCUUGGCAUUUUCCCAAAGGAAGUGAAAGGUUACCAAUAGGUAUGAAAAGGUGCUCAGCAUCACUAAUGGCUGGGAAUGCAGAUUCAAAACCAAAAUGAGGUGUCACUGAGCACCUGUUAGGCUGGCUCUUGGCAAGAAGUCUAGAGAACAAGCGUUAGCAUGGCUAUGGAUCAAAGGGGGGACCCUUGUACACUAGUGGUUCAGAAUUUCAGCUUUACAAGUAGAGAGUUUCUGGAGGUGGGCAGAGGUGGUUACUGCACAAUAAUGUAUUUAAUAUUAUUGAAAACAUAGAAAUUAUAAAGAUGGUUAAAUUUUAUAACACAUGCUUUUCCCAUAGUUUAAAAAAUUAAAAAUUAAAAAUUCAUGUUGAAUAAAGGACUUGGAAAACAGACUUGACCUCAAAGCUCUAAAGUUGAUUCUGAGCGUUUGGUUUUUGCAUCAGCACGUUAUUCAUAUUCAUAACAGCUUGGUACUUGGCAACAGUACUACCUGAUCAUUGCUAUUAUUUUGAUUAUGCUGAAAGAUCCACAUGUCUUCUGUAAUUUGUGGUUGAUUUUUUUGGUUUCAGCAACAUUGGGGUCAUCUCUUUCCUUCCCAAAGAAGUUAGUCUCUUGAGAGCCUCUUCCUGUUACCUCCAUGUGCAGCCAGCUUGAUGGGAGCCUUGAGAAGCCAGGAGUCAUGGAAAUCAGGGGCUGCCUGCAGCCCAGAUAUUUAUAAUGAGGGGAGUUUAUGUAUAUAAAAUUAUGUCAUCUGCAAACAGGGAUAUUUAGACCUCCUUCCUUCCUGUUUGGAUGCCUUGUAUUUUCUUGUCACCUCUUAUUUCUAUGGCCAGUACUUUCAAAAGCAUAUUGAAUAUACAUGUUCUUUUGUUCCUAAUCUUACAGAAAAUGAUUUCAGCUCCUCUCUAGUUAGUGUGAUGUUGCUUUGGUCAUGGUCUCUGAACAUCCUUUCUUCAUGGUCCACUUUAUUUUCAAGAUCAUUUAUUUUGUCUUUGAGGCCUCAAACCUGUCUUCAAAGUGUUUUAGUCUGCUGGUGGUGUUUUCCAUUGAAUUUUUAAUGUGGCUUAUUGAGUCUUUCACUUCCAGGAUUUCCAUUCAGCUUUUUUUUUUUUCUUCAGAAUCUCUAUCUCUUUAUUCGAGGGAUACUUUACUUCCCAUAUUUUCUCUUUACUUUCACUCCAUAUAUCUUCUUUUAGCUCAUACAGCAAUUUAACUAUGAACUCUGUAAAUUAUUCUGACAUUUCCUCCACUGCAGUGUUGAUGGGAUCAAUUGUUAAAGCAUUAUCAGUUGAUGGGAUUGGUUGUUAAAGCUUUUGGGAUGGUUCCCUUGCCUUUUCAUAUUGUUUGUAUGUCUACCCAUCUGUUGUGAUAGCUGUCAUUUUUUUUUUUUUUUUAAAGGGACUACUUUGUGAGCCCUCGGUUGGGUGAAUAUGCAGAUAUUGGUACUUUAAGUCAAUAUGAGACUUUUGUUGAUCCCAAUAUCAGCACCACUUUGAGAAAUGCCACCAAACCCUGUUUACUAUAAUCACUCAUUACCAAGCCUCCUGCUGUUCAACCUUAUGAGAAACACAAUGUUGACAUUGUUGUGCACAGUUCCUCAAAUCCAGGUCUAAGCUGUAGUGAAGUUCUGGAAUAGGUUAAAAUUAGUUUUUCAAUUGACUAAAAUGCUAUAAUUUUAAAUGAGGGCUAAAAUUGGGGAAGAGGAAAGAUUGGGGAAAGAGAUGAAAGGGAGGAAGGAAGGAAAAGGAAGGAAGAAGGAAGGAAAAGGAAGGAUGAAGGAUGAAUGAAUGUGUUUGAGGUAGUAGCAGAUAACCAAAGAAGAUAAAUAUAAAGGGUAAGAGGAGCAGCUGUAAACUGAGCCUCUCAAAUAAGGAUAUGCAGAUUGAUUCCAGUUAAACCAGUAGAUAAAACAGUCAAAUGUGUUGAAUCUUGGCUAUUAGCAUAACCAUUAUUAUUCAAUUGAAAAAGUUCAAUGUAGACAUUAGAGUUAUUUAUAGUAAAUCAUGCCAAGGUGAAGAAAAUUCUUUUUGGAUCUUGGUUUGGGUUUCAUUGGAGUUCAGACCCAAAUGAAAGAUGUGCAUCCUUCUUUGGCUGUGGGUCCCUCCAUCAUUGCUGGGGCACAGGAGCCACUUCCCUGUUUGCUGUGAACCUCCCACUGGCCAGUUCUGGUUCAUCAGCUCGGGGGUCUGAAGUUGAUGCUUGGAGAGUUCAGUGUUGUGUUCUAGUUGUUUCUAUUGUGAGCAGGAAUUCAGGAGGCAGACUGGAGUGUCCCACUGAUUGCCAUGGGUCACUGUCUACUGCUCCCCAACACAGGAUCCUUUUCAUGAAUGUGAAUUUUCUGCAGGUACCCCCUGGCCAGUGCUGCCCUCUGGGUUACUGAGGUAAAGGGACUCAGGUGGUUCACUUGGGUUCUAGUUUCCACUACUCCAGGUUAUGAAUGGAGGGUAUUGAUUCCCUCUGUUGACUCUGACUGAUACAAAGUCCAGCCAGAGUCUAAACAAUGCCUUUUCCUUCACCACUUGUGAACACUGGUCAGGCUGGGAGCACACAUUCCCUAUUGCCAUGGAUCAUGCAAUUUUCCACCUUAACUAACCUCCCUCGGGCUAUGUUUGCAGGUGCCUACUGCUUAAGUUUCCUGGGAUAUUCAGGGAACUUGUUCUAGCAGCCUUCUACCAUAGCUGCCACCACCUGGCAAUCAGAUGUGUCACUGGAUAUUGAGACAGCUUCCCUCUGGUAUGGACUAUAAAGAUGAUGGUCCCUGAACUUCUCACAGUGCUACCCCUCUAUGUCAGUGGUUGGUGCUGCUGUGGUCCUCAUGGAUCCAUUUUCCUCUGCUCAGAGCCAAAGCUGUCUGGGUCAGUGGAUGCUGCUCAGUGUUUUUAUGUUUGUUUGUUUGUUUGUUUGUUCCUCUUGUUGCUGUUUUUGUUUUUCUUUCCCUGCCUCUGCCUGGGUUGCAGAGUGGUGGUCUAGGCGCACUUCCCAGUGCAGUCCACUCAGUCCCUUCCCCCGCUUUUGGGGGAAGGGGAGGGGGAGGGAGUUUCAGUGAUUUGGGGGCGACUAGUGGUUCCUCUAGAACUUCUUUAUGGCUCUAUUCCUAUGAGGUCCCACUCCAGGGGACUUCCCUCUGGUUACAUUUGCAGCUGUCUGGACAUAGGAAGAUAUCCUGUCAUGAGAUGGCUGUGAACCCCUGGCUCAGCUUUCCUUUCACAAUUUGGUUUUAACCUUUGAUAUGUUAUAAGGGUCCUGCUGUUCCCAUCACACUUAAAUUUUUAUCUGCCUUUCCAAAUGUUUUUAGUGGGUGAGUUUAAGUAAAUUUCUACUCUUUCUUUCUUUCUUUCUUUCUUUCUAUUGCCCCUCACCCCUUCCUCUAUCCUGGCCUGGGUUCCAGAUCAGGGAAACGUGUGCUGAUUUUCUUCUGUGGUAUCCAGUAUUUCCAGACCUAAGACUUGGUAACACUGAGUCUUUGAACCGUUGUCACUCAUCUCUCAAUUCUGAUUUUCCUUCACUGCCUCCUUUCUGUGUGGUGAGGAGAUCAGGAAUUGCUGUCUUGCUCCCUUCUACCAUCUUCCCAGUCUCUCAUUGAUUUUCUUUUAAUUGAUGCAUUAUAGUUACAUAUAAAAUUGGACUGCAUUGUGAUAUAUUCACACAUGCACAUAGUAUAAUUUGAUCAACUUUAUUCCCCAAAUUCUUCCCCUUUGCCUCUUGUCCUCCCUCACCCUUUAUUUCCUAUUUCUACUCCUGUCCCUUCUAUUUUUCGGAAGUUCCCCCAACUUUAUUCCCUUUUGUCUCCCUAACUUACAUUUAUGAGAGAAGGCAUUUGAUCCUUGCUUUCUGAAUCUGACUUAUAUAACUUGGCAUGAUGUUCCAUUGAUAUACCAGCAAAUGAAAUAAUUUCAUUUUUCUUUAUGGCUGAGUAGAACUCCAUUGUGUGUGUGUAUAUAUCACAUGUUCUUAAUCCAUUCAUCCUAUUGGUCAGCGCCUAGGCUGGUUUCAUAACUUGGCUAUUGUGCUAUAGAAUACUGAUUUUGGAUUUUUACAUAAUUACCAAGAAGUGGGAGAGCUGGACCAUAUGUGGUUCCAUUUAGAGUCAUCUCUACACUGCUUUCCAAAUUGGUAGUACUAGUUUGCAGUGCCAUCAACAAAGUAUUAACAUACUUUUUCUCCCACAUCCUCAACAAUUAUCCUUAUUUAUAUUCUUGAUAAUUGCCAUUCUGGCUGUGGUAGUAUGAAAUCUCAGUGUCGGAGGCCACCCUGCGCAGGAGCAAAGGACACCCCGUUAGCCUUGAAUAAUGAAGUAUUGAACUGGCAUCGCAAGCCACACACUGUGCGAAGCAAAGUGGGCCUUACCUUCGCUCUGCAGGGAAGUGCUUCAGCUCUGGGCUUGAGGAUUACCCAAAGGGAUUGGGCAACCCCGCUUCUGAAAUUCUAUCCCCUACCUUAUUUGGUUGGAAUAUUCCAUCGAAUGUCUUUUCCUAAUAAAUAGAGGGGUUCCUGGUGCUCUCUUGCCUUUGAGCGUGGAAGAGGACCCUAGAGGCCCUGAGAAACUCAUGUCGUGUGUUGCAUGAACUGUUUGCCAUUUUCUUAUCUUGAUGUUGCAGCCAGCUCUUUUGAAUGUGGAUUUUCCUCUGUGCCUUUAAUCCAUUUCUAGUUCAAUUUUAUGUGCUGUGUAAGAUCCAGCUUUUCACUUUUAUGUACUGUGCAAGUCCAGCUUCAUUCCUUUGCAUGUAAAUAUCCUCUUUCCCAGCACCAUACGUGGAUGAGACUCUACCUUCCCUAUUGUCAGUUCUUGGUGCCUUUUGGUGAUUGACUAUGUGUGCAUGGGUUUGUAUCUGAGUUUUCUCUUGUGUUCCAUAUUCAUGUGGUAUUCUCUACUCUCUUCUUUGUGUCAGUUUUCAUGUCAGUAUCUGAGUGGAUUAUGAGAAUCUUACAAUAUAUUUGAAAAUAAUUACUAUAAAACCUCUUCUUUGUUCUUCUUUUCUCAGGANUUAGCUUGAUGUUGCAGCCAGCUCUUUUGAAUGUGGAUUUUCCUCUGUGCCUUUAAUCCAUUUCUAGUUCAAUUUUAUGUGCUGUGUAAGAUCCAGCUUUUCACUUUUAUGUACUGUGCAGGUCCAGCUUCAUUCCUUUGCAUGUAAAUAUCCUCUUUCCCAGCACCAUACGUGGAUGAGACUCUACCUUCCCUAUUGUCAGUUCUUGGUGCCUUUUGGUGAUUGACUAUGUGUGCAUGGGUUUGUAUCUGAGUUUUCUCUUGUGUUCCAUAUUCAUGUGGUAUUCUCUACUCUCUUCUUUGUGUCAGUUUUCAUGUCAGUAUCUGAGUGGAUUAUGAGAAUCUUACAAUAUAUUUGAAAAUAAUUACUAUAAAACCUCUUCUUUGUUCUUCUUUUCUCAGGAGGAGAUGGCUAUUUAUUACCUUUUGUGGUGUCAUAUGAAUUAAAGGAUUUUCUUUCAAUAUCUAGUAAAAUUGCCAUUGAUAGAUUGACAGGAAUGUCACUGAAUCUCUUGCUUUGGGUAGCCUGGACAUCUUAACUAUCUUUAUUUUUCUAAUCCAUAAGCACACUAUAUCUUUAUAUCCAUGUAUGUCUUCAGUUUUUCUCAUCAAUGUUUUAUAAUUUGUAUGAUACAUGUAAAUUUGCUUUCUUUGAAUUCAUUUGGCUCAAUUUGCUCCGAAGUGUUUUGUUCUUUUUGGUGCAAUUGUAAAAAGAAUAUUACUAUUUGGGUUUUUUUUUUUUGAUAGAUGAUUAUUAAGGAUAUAGAAAUGCAUCUGCUUUUCUCAGGUGGAUUUUGUCUCCAGAACCUUGACUGAACUUGUUAAUUAGUUCUAACAGUUUUCAUUGGUAAAGAGUGUAGCAUUCUCUAUGAAGAGGACUUGUCCUCUGCCAACAGAGGCGGCCCUUCCUUGUUCCUUCCUGGUUUGGAUUCCUGUGGUUUCUUUUUCCUCUCAGAUUCCUCUGUCUGGGGUCUUCAGCACUACAUGGAACAGACAUUGCUGCAGUGUGGGCAGCCUCACCUUGGUCAUGAUCUUAAGGAAAAGCCACUACAUACAUACAUACAUACAUACAUUUUUCGGCCACUACAUACAACAUUUGAUGUGGUAGAUCCUGUGUGACCUUUAUUGUCUUGUGGUGCAUUCCUUUUUACCUAAUUUUUGUAGGCCAUCCGUCAUGAAAGAGUGUUGAUUUUUUUCAGAAUCAUCGUUCUACACCUAAUGAGAUAAUAUGAUUUUAUCUUUCAUUCUGUCAGUACAGUUGACCACAUUGAAUUAUUUUUGUGCUUUGAAACAUUUUUGCAACUGGGAUAAAUCUCAUUUGGUCCUAGUGCAUGAUUUAAUCAUGUUCUGUUGAAUUUAUUCUACCAGUAUUAAGGAUUUUUCUGUCUAUGGAAAUGAGGUAUAUUGCCCUGUACCUAUAGGUUUUGCUAAUAUUACAGUAACUGUACAAUCUGGCCUAUUCAAAGCUCAUCCAAGUUGUAUUAAGAAUCCUCCUUCUCAGACAGGAAAGAGAAAGCUAAGCACAUCCCCACCAUAAUUCCUUUCUAUGAACCUGAACUCGCCCUUCUGUGCUGUUCCAGGGAUGGACCCCACACAUUGAGCAAUCGCUGUGGGAGGCCAGGCCAUAAUACUCAAUCUGUCACCUGGUACCAUUAGUCCUGCACCAAAUCCUGUGGGGAAAAGCCACAGAAGUUCUCAUUUGCAUUUACUGCAGAUUUACAUCACUGAUGUGUCCUUUAUCAAAUGAGAUCCUCUGUAGAGACACCCUGAACACACCAAUGUAUUCAUAUAACAGCUUCCUUGACUUCUGUCUUUGUGGACACAGAUAGACCCACCUCAGCAGCCACAGCAUUUCCUGGAGGGUGGGGAGCAGAUGCGGCCAUCCACCCCCUCUACAUGGAAGUUACUGAAGGCUCCAGUUCUGGCCAUUUCCAACAGUGCUGGCAGGAUAAGUACCUAGCUUUCGACAUGCUGGAUGAAGGAAGGGACACAUGCUAAGGACUUGGAAGGGUGCUCCCAAAUGAUUCUGAGGAGUAUCCAUGGUCACAUCUCCCAGGGGAUCUGCCCAGGCCUCUGUCUCCUGUAUUCUCACCAGGGCUGUUCAGCACCAGCCUUAAAACCUGCCCAUUCAGUGGGGACAAACAACCUCUCAGUAGUAAGUGUGUUGACCAUGGUGUGUCAACAUUCAAAGGUUCACAGUUACUAUGCGCAGUGAUUCGUUUUUGAAUUGCAGGAAUUUGUUCUUUGUCCCCCUAGAAAAAUGAUUUUCUCAUGAAGUUUGAUGUGUCCCUGGGAUGUUAAUCUUAUAUCAGUCUAGGUUUUUUGGGGGGAGGGUCCAAUUUUAUUUUAAGUUUUAUUUAUAUUUCACAGCAGAAUGCAUUAAAUUCUUAUUACAUAUAUAGUGCACAAUUUUUCAUGUCUCUGGUUGUUUCAGAAACACUUUGCUAGUUGUAACUUGUCUUUCUAAGUAUGUAUGUUCUUUUUGUUUUUCGAUCAGGAGUCAGUCAUUUCCUUUAUGACUUCUGACCCUUGAGUCAGAAAAAAAAAUGCUUUCAACAUAAAUGUUAUCAAAGUAUUUUCUAAGAAGCUUUCAUUUUACAUAUACACUUAGACCUGCUAGAUGAGUAGCACAUAACAAUAUCCCAGUGAUUUAGGAGGCUGAGGAAGGAGGAUUUAAAGUUGGAGGUCAGUUUCCCCAACCUAGGGAGCUCCUCAGGAACUUAGUGAGACUCCAUCUCAUAAAGAAAAAAAAAAAACUGGAGAUGAGGCACUCACUAAAUGCCCCUGGGUUCAAUUUCUAAUACUAAUUAAAAAAAAAAAAAAACUAAAAAUCUUGGAUCUCUAUGGCAUUUACUAUUCAAAGAAAAUUAAUUAACAGUCCCUGCCAAUAUUGUGUGGACAAACACAAAAGUCCGACUACAAUGACAUGAAAAAGCCAGAAGAGAAAGAUCAGAGGGAGGGUGUUCCCUGGAGACAAGCAGGAGGGAGAGCAGGUGUGGGUGGGUGUGGGUACCAGACACAGGACAGUGUAAUGCACUUAAAGACAAUUAGCUGAACUUUUUAAAAAAAAUAUUACAUUUUAAAAUAAAUUAGUUUCAAUAAAAAUAGAAAAAGAAAAAAAGAAAAGGAGAGGUAAAGGGCAGUUCUGGGAUGGGAGCUGGUGCAACGGGGGUGCUCAGUCGGUGGUCCAGGCUGUGUUCCCACUGGGAGCCACAGAUCUGUUUCUGAACCUGGAGCUCUCUCUCAAGUGGUGGGUUGGUAAUUCAAGAUGAGCUGGACUUUCGUAUCUUUUAUCUUAUGUUUACGAUCUACUGCAAGUAUGUAUGUUUCUAAGUGCUUUAUUAUUCUACUUGGCUUGUUGAUAUUACUAUAAAUGAUGUCUCCACAUACUCUCUUGUUCAGCACUGGUGUGGAGAAUCACAAACUCUAAUGACAGGGAGCUGGACAUUUUUGGUUUUGCCUGCUGGAUAUGUUCCCUGUUACAAAGCAGAUUUAUCUUUUCUCCAGGCAUUGGACAUUAGUAGUAGUAGUAGUAGUAGUAGUAGUAGUAGUAGUAGUAUUUUUUUAUUUCCAAGUAACACUGCUUUGAGGCAAAGCGUUUAAGUGUUUAGGGCAGCCACAGUAAACCAGCAAGAGGCUGACACAAAAUGAAAAAGGAAAAGACCAUGGAUGUAGCUCAGCGGUAAUGUGCCCCUGGGCUCAAGCCCAGUAACAAAAAGUCAAAAUAAAAAACAUAAAAAACAUAGAUCUCUAUGGCGUUUGUCCUUCUAAGGAAACAUAAUUAGUCCCUUCCAACUUUACACAGCCCAGAAGAAAUCAGACUGCACUGGUUUAAAAAAUGCAGACUCAGCAUAUCACAGGACUAGAAGCUAAGUGGUCGCUGGGGACUAGCAGGAGGUUGGGGAGGCAGUGAUCAUAGAUACCAAAUUCCGGAAGACGUUCUGGAACUGCAUAGUGGUGACUAGUGCACAGUUUAGAGAAGGCACUUGAUGCCAAAUGACUGCGUCUUUUAACAAUGAAAAUAAAUCUUUAAUUCUAAAUAAUAAAAUAAUAAACACAGAUAAUAAAAACGAAUAAACAAAUGAGCUGGGAGAAGAACAGAGGCUCUGGGUUCCUGUCUGGAUGCAGUGCUGACUGAAGGGCCAGCAGGGUGUGUUGGCCUUGAUCGUCCACUGCAGGUUCGUCCAGCUCCAGUUCUCUAUCAGAUGGUACAGAUGAUGGACAUUGAACUGGAGCUUCCACAAGCACUAAAGCUGCUAGAGGAGUAAAGGUCCACAGACUAUCCACGUUAGGUCCAGGGACAGAAUAUUCCCUACUGCCUUUCAUACAAUUCCACACACAAACCCAACACCAGGCAGUGUUCCCAGAAUGCACACAGACAAUGACAGCUCUGCCUCUCAUUGUUCCUGCCCCGCCCCAGUUCCUGUGCAGUAUGCUCUGCUUGUCCCUCCCUGUCCCAUUCUGACAUACUCAUAACCCCACCUCAGUCCUCCUCACCUUCAGCCUGUUCCUCCAUGGGCUCAGGGUUUUCUGUCAAGGCUGGGACCUGGUGUCCGUGGUCCUCCUCCUCGGGGCUUGUGACAGUGACCUGGCUGUGCACAUUACCAAGUGGGUAGUGAGGCAAAUGCAAGUGAGGGAGUGAGGAGACCACCCAAGAGGGAUGGGGGGGGCAACAGUAUGAGAGGCCUGGCCUUUCCUACCAUGAGGUCAGUGAUCUUGGCACCCCACAGGUCAGAGGAGAGGGCUGAAGCUCAGAGAGUCACAGGGCCAGUAUCAGGACUCACAGCUGUAUGUGACCCUGUCACCCUGGGCAGGGCUUACCUUCCCAACAUUUGGCCCAUCUCUUGUUGGGUGGAGGAACUCGAGAUAUUUGAUGCCAAAGAGGAUGAUUGAAAGAACAUGGGCUCCAGGGUCUCCUCCAGGUUCCCCAGGGAGUACGCCUGGAACACAUAUCCAAUGCUGGUAUCAUCCCCUCUGUAGCCACCUUCUUGGUUGGGACAUUGAAGAAACAGAGUCAGUGCCAAACUGACCCACCAGAAGUGUCUGGGGGUGGAGUCCAGUGCAAUAGCAAAAGCAAAUAGGGGCUUGUCCCACAGAGGGACAGGAGAGCCCCAGCAGGGCAAUGGCAGAGUUCACAGUAGAAUUGCUGAGGGGAUAGUUAGAAACACAGCAGCUUCAGGCCAGUGUGUUAGCUGAGCAGAGGUGGCAGCUCUGUGCAUUUAGGAGCUUAUCCCCUGAGUCCCACCAGCACACCACCUUCUGGAGAUGGGAAAACGGGCUCAUCCCAGACAGGAGGGUCCCUGUGUGAGGACACCCAGAACAUCAUUCUCUGUGGUGCUGUUGAAAUGGCUCCAGAACGGAAUGAGGUCCAGGUCCCACAGCCCUGAAAGGCUGAAUGACUGUGGAACCUGGGUCCCCCUGGAAGGUGGUGAGGUCCUGGGGGCUCAGCUCCUACUUUCCCAGUCUGUGUUCCUUGAGAUAACAAGUACCAGAGAAAUGGACCAAUUGGCAUGAGCCUUGUAGUGUUUCAGCUAAACUCAUCCCUAGUAAUCCUGAUGAUGUGUAAGACUUGGAGAGAGUGUGGAAGGACCGUCAGGCCAUUGUCACCUGGACACCUGGGUGUUGGAGUUAUAGUCAGUUGGGUGGCAGAGUACAAAUCAUCAGAGAAUUAAAAUGAAAUAAUGUCCAUGUUGCUGUUCUGUUGUUGUCAAAAUUAUGGGAACAGUGACCUUGGAUGAGUCCAAGAACGAGGCAGGCAGAGAGGGUGAGGAGGAUGGGUGAGGAUUUGUUGUUCAGAUUCCUCAUGGUGGGGACUCUGCCCCUCCAUCUCCCAUCCCUACCAGGAAGGUGGUCCUGGUGGUGUCUGUGCUCUUAUUCUUUAGAAAUUUCCAUCCAAUGAAGGUCAAGAGGGUCAGGACAGGUGAGGUAACUCGAUCCCUGGGGAUGUAGGAAGGCAUGCCCUGGGGGAUGGAAGUCCAAAUUUUAAUGCUCCAGUAGGUUGAAUUGCAGGAUUUAUUGCCCUUAAAUCUUGUAUUAACCUCCAAUUACCUGAAUUUUUCUUAAUUACAAAAAUGGAUGUGUUCCAAGGGCUAAGUGUAGGCUCUGAAUGACCAGCUUUAAGCUAUUCUUUGACUCAAAUAUGAGCUAUUUUAAGUUUUUCCCCUGUUACAGGCCACUGACUAACCCAAAUUGGCUCUUCUGUGAGCCAAGUGAUCUUUUUUGCUACCUUUAUUUUUAGAGAGAGAGAAGAGAGAGAGAGAGAUUGAGAGAGAGAGAGAGAGAAUUUUUUAAUAUUUAUUUUUUAGUGAUUGGUGGACACAACAUCUUUGUAUGUGGUGCUGAGGAUUGAACCCGGGCCGCACGCAUGCCAGGUGAGCGCGCUACCGCUUGAGCCACAUCCCCAGCCCUUCUGCUACAUUUUGUACCGGGAAAAAGUAAGGGCCCCUACCAAAAAUUUUGGUUGGGUGCAUUAAUUAAUCUCUGUCGAGGAGACUGGUUCAUAAGUAGAGAUUCAUCCUGUAAAUUUCUUUCACUAUCCCUAGGAAUAAACCAUUGAUUAAAUUUCUCAGAUGACUUGAUAGAAUUUGGAGUUACUAAUAAUAAUCCUAAACUGCUUAGGAUAUCUCUUCCCCAUAAGUUUACUGGUAAAGAAUCUAAAUCAUAUGUCUUAAAAAUUUCAGUAUUUCCAUCUCAGUCCUCCCAGUGAAGAUAUUGGGCACUCUGGGCAGGCUGACAAAUCUGUCCUAUUUCUUCUAAAUUGGCUGGCGCAGUAUGGAAAGGCCAGGUUUGGGGCCAAAAUCAGUGAGACAAAACUGAUUUAUCUACUGCCUUUCAUAAAAUUCCACGCACAAACCCAACACCGGGCAGUGUUCCCAGUAUCUAUAACUCCUUGAAAUUUUUUAUGAUUAAUUUUUAAGUUCCAAUAGGGGGUGCUCCUGCCAAACUAAUUGGGCCCAGUAUGCUCCGCCUGGCGAUUUGGAAAUUGAGAUUUUAUCCGGACUGUCCACGGAGCUGCAGGGUAAAAGAAUUAAUUGGGCUAGCGCGUUUUUAGUAGAAAGCUGAAUGGCAUAUUCUGAUUUUACAGUAACUGUUAUUUCACCUCUAAAACAAGUAUCAAUAAUUCCCAGUAAUACUUGGAUUGACUCUUUAAAUUUCAUUCCAAAAUUAAUCCUAUAGUGCCUGGGGGUAAUGGCCCAUGAAUUCUGGUAGGAAUCCGCUGGGGUCCCAUUUCAGGUGUUAACAUGGCUAGUUGAAAGAGUACUGUGUGGGUGGUGCCUGCUAGUAAAAAUGGCGGUCCGCCAUGGCCAGCUAUCAUGACAUCAGAGCUUGUGACUCCUCCAAAUCCCCUUCUGUUUGGCAGGCCUGGGGAAAGGCAGGGUUAACUAGGACAUGUGAGGUAACUCAAUCACUGGGGAUUUAGGAAGGCAUGCCCAUGCAAGAAGACACAUUUGCGUUUUUCUGCCCUCAAGAUGGGGGCUAUUGUGUUCAGCUACUUAAAAGUAGCCACAUCACCGGGGUGACCAUCAGUGCCAUAGCUAAUCAGGAGGGGAAGCAAACGCUGGUCACAUGCUAUGGCAGCCUCCAACAAUGGAGCAAGAGCCUGUCUCAAAAUGAAAAAGGAACAAGACCAUGGAUGUAGCUCAGUGGUAAAAUGCCCCUGGGUUCCAGCCCAGUAACAAAGAAAUAAGAAUAAAAAAUAAAAAAACGUAGAUCAGUGUGGCAUUUUCCCUUCUAAGAAAACAUAAUUAGUCCCUUCCAACGUUACACAGCCCAGAAGAAAUCAUACUGCACUGGUUUGAAAAAUGCAGACUCAGCAUAUCACAGGACUAGAAAGCUAAGGGGUCACUGGGGACUAGCAGGAGGGAGGGGAGGCAGUGGUCAUGGAUACUGAAUUCCAGAAGACAUUCUGGAACUACAUUGUGCUGACUAAUGUACAGUAUAGAGAAGGCACUUGAUGGCAAAUGACUGAGACUUUUAACAAUGAAAACAAAUCUUUACUUUUAAAUAAAAUAAUAAACACAUACAAUAAAAAUGAAUAAACAAAUGGCCUGGGACAAGACCAGAGGCUCUGGGUUCCUCUCUAGAUGCAGUGCUGACUGAAGGGCCAGCAGGAUACGUUGGCCUUGAUGGUCCAAGGCAAGUGCGUCCAGCUCCAGUUCUCUAUCAGAUGGUGGAGAUGUUGGACCUCGAACGGGAGCUUCCACAAGCACCAGAGCUGCUAGAGGAGUAAAGGUCCACAGACUAUCCAUGUUAGGUCCAGGGACAGAAUAUUCCCUACUGCCUUUCAUACAAUUCCACGCACAAACCCAGCACCAGGCAGGGUUCCCAGAAUGUAUGAAGACAAUGACAGCUCUGCCUCUCAUUGUUCCUGCCCCGCCCCAGUUCCUGUGCAGUAUGCUCUGCUUGUCCCUCCCUGUCCCAUUGUGACAUACUCAUACCCCACCUCAGUCCUCCUCACCUUCAGCCUNACAGACUAUCCACGUUAGGUCCAGGGACAGAAUAUUCCCUACUGCCUUUCAUACAAUUCCACGCACAAACCCAGCACCAGGCAGGGUUCCCAGAAUGUAUGAAGACAAUGACAGCUCUGCCUCUCAUUGUUCCUGCCCCGCCCCAGUUCCUGUGCAGUAAGCUCUGCUUGUCCCUCCCUGUCCCAUUCUGACAUACUCAUACCCCACCUCAGUUCUCCUCACCUUUGGCCUGUUCCUCCAUGGGCUCAGGGUUUUCUGUCAAGGCUGGGACCUGGUGUCCUUGGUCCUCCUCCUCGGGGCCUGUGACAGUGACCUGGCUGUGGACAUUACCAAGUGGGUAGUGAGGCAAAUGCAAGUGAGGGAGUGAGGAGACCACCCAAGAGGGAUGGGGGGGGCAGCACUAUGAGAGGCCUGGCCUUUCCUACCAUGAGGUCAGUGAUCUUGGCACCCCACAGUUCAGAGGAGAGGGCUGAAGCUCAGAGAGUCACAGGGCCAGUAUCAGGACUCACAGCUGUAUGUGACCCUGUCACCCUGGGCAGGGCUUACCUUCCCAACAUUUGGCCCAUCUCUUGUUGGGUGGAGGAACUCGAGAUGUUUGAGGCCGAAGAGAAACAGUCAUAGAAGAAGGCAGGCUCCAGGGUCUCCUCCAGGUCCCCCAGGGAGUACGCCUGGAACACAUAUCCAAUGCUGGUGUCAUCCCCUCUGUAGCCACCUUCUUGGUUGGGACAUUGAAGAAACAGAGUCAGUGCCAAACUGACCCACCAGAAGUGUCUGGGGGUGGAGUCCAGUGCAAUAGCAAAAGCACAUAGGGGCUUGUCCCACAGAGGGACAGGAGAGCUCCAGCAGGGCAAUGGCUGGCAGAGUUCACAGUGGAAUUGCUGAGGGGAUAGUUAGAAACACAGCAGCUUCACCCCAGUGUGUUAUCUGAGCAGAGGUGGCAGCUCUGUGCAUUCGGAGCUUAUCCCCUGAGUCCCACCAGCACACCACCUUCUGGAGAUGGGAAAACGGGCUCAUCCCAGACGGGAGGGUCCCUGUGUAAGGACACCCAGGACAUCAUUCUCUGUGGUGCUGUUGACAUGGCUCCAGGACAGAAUGAGGUCCAGGUCCCACAGCCCUGAAAGGCUGAAUGGCUGUGGAACCUGGGUCCCCCUGGAAGGUGGUGAGGUCCUGGGGGCUCAGCUUCUACUUUCCCAGUCUGUGUUCCUUGAGACAGCAAGUACCAGAGAAAUGGACCAAUUGGCAGGAGCCUUGUGAUGUUUCAGCUAAACGCAGCCCUAGUAAUCCUGAUGCUGUGUAAGACUUGGAGAGAGUGUGGAAGGACCGUCAGGCCAUUGUCACCUGGACACCUGGGUGUAGGAGUUAUAGUCAGUUGGGUGGCAGAGUACAAAUCAUCAGAGAAUUAAAAUGAAAUAAUGUCCCUGUUGCUGUUCUGUUGUUGUCACAAAUAUGGGAAUUGUGACCUUGGAUGAGUCCAAGAACGAGGCAGGCAGAGAGGGUGAGGAGGAUGGGUGAGGAUUUGUUGUUCAGAUUCCUCACGGUGGGGACUCUGCCCCUCCACCUCCCAUCCCUAUCAGGAAGGUGGUCCUGGUGGUGUCUGUGCUCUUAUUCACUUUUAUUCUGCUCUGUGCCCUGCCAGUAGAGUCCCCCCUGUCCCGCACUUAUCCUGAGGCCCAGCUCCUGCCCAUUGGUGCUUGGCUCUGGAUAUUCCUCAGUGGACGUGGGGUUGGAGCUGAAGCUGCAGCUCCAGUGCUUAUUGAGGAUAAACUGUGGAAAGAAUGGAAGACAGUGCCUGGUAGCUGGCCGGGAGCCCCAGCCCCUGCUCGCCUCCAUUCAGGGUGUUUGUGUCUCUUGUGGCCUUCUGCUCCCCCGACCUAAUACAGACCCUGUGUCUCAGGUUUUACCCUGUAAGACAGGAAAUGAUACUGGGUGCCCAGGCCGUACCGUGGACACUUUCAUUCCCCACCUUUUUCCCUGUCCUGGGGGUGACCAUGAUAGGACACGAGGCUCACAAUCUCCCACCACCUUUUCCUGCCUCAGGUCCCUGUUCUCCCCUACUGAGGAGCAAGGUGGUGGGACUCUGCAGGGCUACUCACAGUGAUGUUCUCUCCUGGAUGUACCUCACCAGGGCUAUCAGGUGUGGACCUAAAGCUACUCCUCCCACUUUCAGGUGUGCCAAUUGGAGGAGGACCAUCAGCGAGGCACAGGCAGCAGCACAUGAAGCAACUUCGCAGUUGUUUCCAAAAGUUUCUUCUUUUGGGUGUCCAGUGGAUUGGGUCUGGGGAAGGGGCCGUGCAGCCAUAGGGGGAGCUCUGGCGACGUGGCCUCCUAAAGGGUCGGCCUCCACAGGGGAAGCAGGACAACAUGUUUUGGCUUUCAAAGUAUUUCACCAAAUGAGCUGGGAGGAGGCUGUUGCUAGAAUGUGGGUGCCUGGUUACUGGGUUCCAAGUUCUGUUUGACUCUAUGACCAAGGAAGGGGGCCCAUGUCUUGGGGUUCCUGGCCUAACCCAUCCUCCAGAUAAGCCCAUGUUUGUCCCUCUGUUGGCUCUCCUCCAGCCCCAUGCCAUUGCCAUAUGUUUACACAGCCAACCCCAACACUAGCCCCACAUCCCUUGGCAGGCAUGGGUGUAGCCAGGGUCCCAGCUCUGAGGAGACACAUCUAGGUUUCAACCCUGCUCCUCCUCCUGUCCUCUCAUGUGACCUUGGACAAGUCAUCAUGUCUCUAAGGCUUGCCCAGUGUCCCCCUGCACAGUGUCUACUUCCUAGCACUGUCACCAGGCAUAUCUGACAUAACACUUAGAAACGAUGUUGUCAAAUGUCUGUAAUGCACAAAAGUAGAGAUAAAAUAUGGAAACAGGUGAAAUUUUAACGUAGAAUAGAGCUAAGGACAGGCCUAGUCUCCUGCCUGCUGACUUUGAAAAUGCCAUUUUCCUUCCUGGCCUUCUUUCUCUGUCUGCAUCUUGAGGGGGUUGAAAUGCAAUUAGUGGGGAUAUCCUCAUCUCCCAGAGCCACCCACCUUGUUCUCUUUGGGAUGAGAGUAAGCACAGUCACAUUUAGUAAAUGAAUGAGCAAGAAUACCUUCACCUCCAUCACCCUUUCUACUCAAGUCCCAUCAAAAUAAUAAUAAUAAUAAUAAUAAUAAUAAUAAUAACCCUUCAAAAGAUCACUGUGAAGAACUCCAUACCAGGUAGGUACAGAACAUAUUCAAAAAUCUAUAACUAUGUGUAUUUGUAACUCUGUAGCAAAAUUACCUGAAAUUUUGUGGCUUAAAACAGAGAAAUUUAUUUUCUCAUGGUUCUGGAGGUGAGAAAUCUCAACAUGCCACAGGGCCAUGUUCCCUCUAGUCUCUAAACAACAAUCCUUUCUGAUCUUUUUCAAUUUUUAAUGGCCCUAUGUUUUCCCAGGUUUAGGACAGUGUCACUCCAAACUCCACCUCCAAUCUUCACAUAGCCUCCUCCUUAUUCUGUGUCCUCUCCUCUUCUUGAAGGGACACUUGACAUUAGAUUUAGAGCCCAUUCAGAUAAUACAGCAUGAUCAUCAUGAUCUCAUCUUGAGAUCCUUAAUUACAUGUGCAAGGAUCUUUUUCCAAAUACAGUUAGAUUCACUCAUUCUGAGACAAACCCACAGAAUACAGUUACUCAUACUAGACAAAGGUGCCAAAAACAUACAUUGGAGAAAAGAUAGCCUCUUCAAAAAAUGGUGUUGGGAAAACUAGAAAUCCAUAUGAUGCAAGAUGUAAUUAAACUCCUCUCUCCCUGCACAAAACUCAACUCAAAGUGGGCCAAGGACUUAGGCUUUAUAACAGAGACCCUACACCUAAUAGAAGAAAAAAGGAGACUGAAAUCUAUGUCAGCUUAGGAACUGAGUUCCUUAUCAAGACUCCUAAAGCACAAGGAGUAAAAUCAAGAAUUAAUAAAUGGGAUGGAAUCAAACUAAAAACCUUCAUCACAGCAAAGCAAACAAUCAAGCACAUGAAGAGAGAGCCUACAAAAUCAGAAAAACUCUUUACUUGCACCUGCACCUCAAAUACAGCAUUAUUCUCCAGGAUACAUAAAGAACUCAACAAACUCAACAACAACAACAACAAAAAUAACCCAAUGAAGAAAUAAGCAUCCAGCAGCUAGAGAGGCUGGGAUGGGAAGAUCACAAGUUCAAAGCCCAGCCUCAGUAACCGCAAGGUGCUAAGCAACUCAGUGAGACCCUAUCUUUAAAGAAAAUAUAAAAUAGGUAUGGGGAUGUGGCUCAGUGGUUGAGUGCCCCUGAGUUCAAUUCCCAGUAUCAAAAAAAAAAAAAGGAAAUAAUCAAAGGAACUAAACAGAUACUUCACAAAAGAAGAAGUAUGAUCAGAUAAAAAAUAUGAGAAAAUGUUCAACAUCUCUAGCAAUUAGAGAAAUGCAAACUAAACUAAAACCAUACAAGUAACAGCAAAUGUUUGCAAGGAUGUGGGAAAACAAGUACACUCAUACAUUGCUGGAGGGACUACAAAUUGGUGCAACCACUCUGGAAAGCAGUAUGGAGAUUCCUUAGAAAAGUUGAAAUGGAACUACCAUUUGAUCCAGUUAUCCACUUCUUGGCUUAUACCCAAAGGACUUAAAAUCAGACUACUACAGUGACACAGUCACAUCAAUGUUUAUAGCAGAUCAGUUCACAAUAGCCAAACUAUGGAGCCAAUCUAGGUGCUAUUCAACAGAUAAAUGAAUAAAUAUGCGGUAUAUAUACACAAUGGAAUAUUAAUAAGCAAUAAAGAAGUAUGAAAUUAUGGCAUCUGCUGGUAAAUGGAUAGAACUGGAGAAUAUCAUGCUAAGUGAAGUAAGCCAGUCCCCAAAAUCUAAAGGUCAAGGCUUCUCUCUGUUAUGUAGAUGCUAACCCAUAAUCAGGUACAGUAGGCACAGGAAGUAUAGAAGUUCACUGGAUUAGGCAAAGGGAAAUGAAGGGAAGAGAGGGGAGAUGGGGAAAGGAAAGGCAGUAGAAUGAAGCACACAUUACUUUCCCAUGCUAAUAUACGAAUACACGACCAGUGUAACUCCACAUCAUGUUCAACCACAAGAAUGGGAUCAAAAUUAUAAUGGGUUGUACCCCAAGUAUGUAUGGUAUGUCAAAAUACAGUUGACUGUCCUGCAUCUCUAAAAACAAACAAACGCUGAAAGUGAGAUGUUGAGGAUUGAAGGUCAGUAGUCACCUGGUAAGACCAAUCCCAGCAGUUCACACUGUGCUUUAUUCUGUUCACCAAAUAGGUCUUAGACCUGGGAAGUCUUCUUGUCAUACCUCACAGGAUGGCUCCACCUUAAGCCAAAAUGUGUUUGAAUUUUGUUAUUUCAUAGGCCCAACUUAGUUUUCCAUAAAGCAAAAUCAACAUUCAUCUUAUGGUGUACUUCAGUUUGUUAUUGUAGUUCCCUCUUAUCAAAAAUUUCAAUUUCUGUGGUUUCACUAAAAUGUGGUCCAAAAACAGUAAAUUUAAAACUACAGAAAAAAAAACCACUGUGUAAGUUUUAAAUUUUUCACAAUUCUUAAUACAAUGAUCAGGUAUUAAGAUUAGGUAGCAUCAUUCUCUAUCAUGACUAUGCCGUGAAUCAUCCCUUUGUCCUAUGAUGCAGGACGUGUAGUCGACCCACACAUUAGUUCCUAAACAGCCAUCUGGUCAUGAGGUAAACUGUGGUGGUUUGCACUGCUUGUACAUGGAGUUCAAUUCUAUCUGUAAUUUCAGGUUUCUACAUAGGAUAUUGAAAGGGAUCCAAUUCACAUUGAAGUCUUUCUCUUGGAACCAAAGAAGAACUGGAACAUGACUUUGAGAAACAUUUCUUUUUCCUAGGCUUCUCUGAUCUCUCUCAGCUAUAGAGACAUUGGGUUUUUUUUCAUCUCUACUUUUCAACAUAAACCAGUUCCUCCACUGAGUACCCUGAAACUUCCUGCCUUUUGCCCCAUUGCAAACUCUGUGGAAAAGAGCAUUUACUCACAUAGCUCCCUCUUCCUAAUACGCUGCAUGCCACACUGGAAUCUCUCCUCUAGAACACUAUGAUCCCCCAACAUGGCUCCAGCAUCAGUUCUGACUUUCUCCCCAUACAUUGAUUAAUUUGAGUCUCUGCUCUCCUGUGCUCAUCAGAGGUAGUUGGACAGUUUGUGUGUUCCUCCUCUGGCUUCUGCUCUGGAUCCUACUGGGUUGUUUUAGUGUUUCGGGGUGACAAUUCUCUACUGAAAAAGAAAAGGGUGACAAGUAUCUUUUAUAAACAUAUUAUUAAUUUGCUCUCAUAAGAGUGACCUCCAAUACUUGUGGCAGCUCUAGCUCCAGCUCCAUCACCAUCCUGAGAACCAGAGGAGCCGUUGCCAGAAACUCCUUCACCACCAGCUCCAGAUCUCAGGUACUAGAGGCUCAACAGCCAGUGCCAGCUCCUGAGCUGCACCUUGGACCUGCUAUGCCCAGAGCAGCCCUUCACCUCCCUUACCAUUUCACUUGUUUUCCUAUUAGUUUUGGUUAUUUUUUAUUUGCUGAUGAUUAAUUUUAAAUAAAAUUUAGUAGUUUACUCAUUUGAAAUAUUUAGUUCAAUGCAAUUAAGUGCAUGUUCAAUGUUGUAUAACCAUCACCAUUGUCUAGUUCCAGAAUAUUUUCCUCAAUCCUGUCCCCGCUCAUUGUCCUGGUUGGCCCCAGCAGCCACUCAUCAUUCUAUCCAUGUGUUGCAGAUUUGUAAUCAACAGAUAGUUGCCGGACAUCUGCUCUCUGCAUCACUGUGGGGAUGGAGGCAGAUGCAGGGCACUGUGCCACGUCACUUCUCACCCCUCCACCAAAUCAGAGACUCCUGGACUCUACCUGAUGUUUCCUGCCAACCUUACCAACUUUCAGGUUGGCCUUAUAGUGUCCUUGCCUCCCAUUUCAAGAAACGGAAGAUACAUUGUCCCCAUCAUGCUUUAAAGAAGACUGAAAUUAUGGCAAUAAUAAGACAAUCCCUCAAAAUACAAAGGCCAAAUGUUUUUUCUAACAUGUGGAUGCUAAUUGACAAUAAAGUGGGGGGCACUAGAGAAGAACAUCAUUACCUUAGACUAGGUAGAGGGAAAUGAAGAAAGGAGAGUGGAGGGGAUAUAGGAAUAGGAAAGACAGUAGAAUGAAACAGACAUUAUUACUGUAUUAUAUAUGUGACUACAUGAUUAAUAUGAUUCUGCAAUAUAUACUCAGAAAAAUGAGAAAUUAUAUCCCAUCUAUGUAUGAUAUAUCAAAGUGCAUAAAUGUCAUGUAUAACUAAUUAAAACAAAUUAAAAAUUAAUUAAAAAAGAAAAGGUAAGCCUCGGUUAGAUGGAACGUUCACAUCAUGUGGAUGUCUUUCUCUGUAUGUGCUUAUAUUUCUAAUUUCAUAGUCAGGCAUGGCCUAACAAUGGGGACUCUUUAUGAGAAAUGUAUCAGUAGGUGAUAUCGUCCUCUGAGAUCACUAUAGAGUGUACUUGUACAGGGGAAGAAGGCUAUGAUGUCACCAGGCAGUAUACUCUCAGGGGACCCCCAUCUUAUAUGCAGCCCAUCGCUGACUGUGAGGUUGGUAUGUGUUGCAUGCUUGUACAUCCAUAGGUCUUUGCCUCUGGACUGAGCCUUCAGAUGCUGGCAGGUUGGAUUUCUCUUUUUUCCUCCCCACCCUUCCAUCUCACUGUGCUCCCUAACACCAUUCUGCACUCAUCACUACCUAGUGGAUCAUCCCAGUUCCCUCCAUUAAAAGGCCGCCUCCAGUAGAAUGAGACAGACAUUAUUACUCUACAUACAUGUAGGAUAUAGUCAACUACUGGUGUGACCCUGCAUGAUGUACAGCCAGAGGAAUAAGAAGUUGUGCUGCAUUCAUAUACAGUGUGUCAAAAUGCAUUCUACUGGCAUAUACAACUAAUUAGAACAACAACAACAAAAUCCACACCUGGAUCUUCUCUGGAACCCUCCAGCAGGCUAGGGCUCCUUCACAUACAUUCUUCCAGAUGACACACCAGUUGUGGGAGCUGGUGACUUAGGAGGAUGACUGCCAGAGGGUAAGAGGGAGUGGGGACAGGGACGCUGAACUUGGCUUCUCCCUGCUGCACAUCACUUCUGAUGUAGGUGGAUCCCUCCUGGACACCAUCCAAUCCCUGCCAACAGCAGGUGGGGUCCUGGCUACCAACUCUUUAAUGCCCAAUAGUGAGCAGCAAGAGGACACUAAGUUUUAGCAAAUAGUCAUCUCCAGUCAUACCUCUCAGUAUCCAAGUGGGAUAGGUCACAGAACCCCUUGAAUACCAAAAUCACCAUAUGCUCUACUCCCUUAAAAAAUUGUGUAGAAUUUGCAUGUAACCUCCACAGUCUUCCUUCCAGAUACUUUAAAUCAAACUGAGAUUCUUUAAGAUGUAAAUGCUUUGAAAUGGUUGUCAAGGUCUUUUUUAGGGAAAAAUGACAAGGAAAAAAGUCUUUAAGUAUUCAGUAAUGAAGUGAAUAUUUUUUCAAACAUUUCCAUCUGAGGGUGGUUGAGUCUGUGGAUGCAGAAGCUGAGCCUACAGAAGGCUGACUACUGAUUACAGAGUCUUCUCUAGAAAGGCACAAAAUGGGCAGAACUGGACCCAGAGGCACCUUCUGGGGAAAUGAAGAAUAGAACCUUCAUCUCUCUCUAACUGUUGCCAGUCAUAGUGACUUGUGUCCAAGAAGCUGAGGGUUUGCAACCCCAGAAGGUGAGAGGGAGCUAGAGGAAAUCUUCCCCCAACGAUGCUGUGGAGGUCCCCAAUCCUCACUGCAUCCCUCAAACUUCCCUGCGGUCAGGAACGAUGGAAAACAUGCCCUAGUUUUCAAGAAGCCACCACUGAGUUAAGACAAGGGCAGCCCACUAGGGCAGAAAGCAGGGCUGGAGGAUGGAGGGGCAGGGCCAGAGCCCUUCCCACCAGGUCAGCUGUUGGGUAGGACAGCAAAGUGCAGGUUACUGUCAGCUAUUCAUCAGCCCACUCAGACCAGCCGGAGUCCCUCUUUGCUUCCUGGCCCCCACCCAGCUGUACAUCCCCCUGGGGACCAGUCCAGGCUCUGGGAGGACCACAGCCACGCACACCAGGAGAAUGUGCCAGGACAUGCUUUGGUUGGCACUGCUGGUCUGUCUGUGCUUGGGAAGCCCCACCCUGGGUCACAACAAAUAACACAAAUGCAUCCUUAUCACACAAGAACUGCACUGAAAAAAUGGAAAGAAACUUGUAUUACUGUGAAAAAACCACAUAAAUGAAAUUAACAAGCAGAAAUGUGAUAUACAUGUCUUAGCUCAGACUUUGGCUCACAUUUGCUGGGUUCACUCCCUCCUCAACAUCAGCAUCUCAUGAAUAUUCCACUAUGUGUUGCAAU
rnacentral:lncRNA from 1 species